rnacentral:rRNA from 1 species
UACGUAGGGUGCAAGCGUUGUCCGGAAUUAUUGGGCGUAAAGAGCUCGUAGGCGGCUUGUCGUGUCGUCCGUGAAAACCUGCGGCUCAACUGCAGGCUGGCGGUCGAUACGGGCAGGCUGGAGUUCGGUAGGGGAGACUGGAAUUCCUGGUGUAGCGGUGAAAUGCGCAGAUAUCAGGAGGAACACCGGUGGCGAAGGCGGGUCUCUGGGCCGAUACUGACGCUGAGGAGCGAAAGCGUGGGGAGCGAACAGG